GGAGGAAGCAGGAAGAGGUCGGUUUGGGCACUCUCUGGUCAGGCAAAAGCAGGGACAAGUAUGGGCCAUAAGGAAUGAAAUUGAUGCAGGUGUACUGACUUGAGCUUGUGCCACUGGGAUGUGAAUGCUGGACUCUUCAGGGAGAGGGACUUGAACAUCUGUCUGGACCACAAUGGCUCUAGUAGGAGUGCCAUGGUUGUUGAAGAAAACUACGUCCUUGACUUGGUGCUUCAUGUCAUGUCAGGACCAGCUUUCAGGAACCCCACUAUCAUGUUCAUAGACUAAGUGCUGUGAAACGUAAGAUAAACUGUUUCAUGAUUGAAAGUUUCAUUUAGAAGAGAAACCC